rnacentral:rRNA from 1 species
GCCUACGGGGCGCAGCAGUGGGGAAUAUUGCACAAUGGGGGAAACCCUGAUGCAGCAACGCCGCGUGAGUGAGGAAGUAUUUCGGUAUGUAAAGCUCUAUCAGCAGGGAAUAGAAAAGAAGGUACCUGAAAAAGAAGCCCCGGCUAACUACGUGCCAGCAGCCGCGGUAAUACGUAGGUGGCAAGCGUUAUCCGGAUUUAUUGGGGGUAAAGGGCGGGUAGGCGGGAAUGAAGUUCGGA